CGAAAAUUGGCUCAAAAAAUUGGCUCCAUUAAUAUUUGGGAUUUUGGCUCCAAUUUAAUUCAGGCCAAAAUGUACAUUUUCUUCUACACUUAGCAAAAAAAUCAAAACUCUCUCUCUCUCUCUCUCUCGGACUCUUAUCUUUCUCUCUCGACGGCAACAACUCUCCUCCAACUCUCCUCUCAUCCGACCAGAAUCCUCAUGGCUUCCACCAGACAAUUCGCGAAUGGGCGUUGUACACGAACACCCGAGUUAAAUCUCUAUUUGUCAUCGAUUAGGGUUUCAGUGUUAGGGGUUUCCUCUUUUUUAUUCUUCUGCUGCUGCUAUUUAUUAUUCUGUAUUAGUCAUCGAUUGGGAUUUCAAUUAGUUUCAGUGCUAGGGGUUUCGAUUUGGGGAUAACUGAUUUUUCUGUAUCAAUCUCGAUUAAGAUUAUUCUUACUUUGGUUUGACUUGUCACGAGUCUUUCUACGUGUCCGAGGUUUCAAUUUAUGGUUCUCUCUGUGUUACGGGUCAGUCUCCUUUCCUCUGCUAAAAAGAAUAAACUGUUAGCAAAGACCAAAAAUGUUAAUUUUUGUCCAAACUUAAGUCGCACUACCAACAAAGUCUUGUUGCGUUAUCUAUGUACAUAAUUAAUGAGCAUAGUUUGUUAACUGGUGUGUUGUUUUAGCUUUUGGAGCUUAGUGUGUGUUCCUGUAUGUUUGAGCUCGUUCUGUAAUUCAUGGCUCACUCAGAUUUGUUCUGCAGGACCAGACUUUGAUGGCUCAGCUCGCUAGAGAUGUAUAAAAGGGAAGUUCUUAGCCUCUCUUUGCCAUGAACCUCGCUGGGUUGUCUUGAGCAGAGUUGGUGGUCAUGAGCUUGAACACAGAGGACGUACGGCGUGGUGGUGGUGGUGUUAGCCGCCUCUGUUUACCGGAGAGUCUCAGAGUGAAGACAAAGCUUCAUGGUGGUGCGGCUGAUGAUGACGAUGUUUGGAUUUAGAUCUAGGGGAUCGAAACGAUAAACUUGAGAUGAUUUUGAUGGACGCUCUUUGCUGUGCAAUUGACAAUCUUGACACGACAAAUUUGAUGGUAAUCAUGGGAGACUUGUUGGGACACGAUGAGUUCGUUGUCGCUGCUUUCGCAUUGAGUUGUAGACGUAGACAAUACAACUUUCUCGUAGCACAGCCUGAUGAGUUUAAAGAACAGCUACGUUCUUCAGCGAAAAAGAAAUGGCUUUGUUCAAGUCUAUUAACUGGAAGAGGCCCUUUGCCCCUAACCUCAAGCAUGCAACACCUCAUGGACAAUAUUGGUACCCUGAAUGCUGACAAACUCACAUGUAACAGCACAAGCCCACAAGAAACUUCACAAAACGGGCCCAACACUGUAUGCAGCAAACUCAGCCUGCAAACACACAGCUCCAACGGUCAUCUUCAACUUUCACUGGCGAGACAAGAAGUACAGAGGAAGUUACAGAGGCAGUUUUCUUAAAAGCAAAAGUCUCAAAAGCAAAAGUUAAGCUGUCAACAUCUGGAACAGCUCCGCAUGUGCUUAGCCAAAACCGUUUUGCUGCGCUUGAUGAUGAUGACAACUAAAGCAAAACCUUAGAAUGUAAUAAGAGGUUAAGAGAGAAAUAUUAUUUUUAAAAUAAAAAAAAAAUACCUUUGUUCACCA